rnacentral:lncRNA from 1 species
UCGAUGAAAAUCAAAUCAUCAACAUAGAGUAAAAAGCAUGCAGUAAUACUACCGUGAGAAUAAAUGAAUAAAGAAGGAUCGGACUUUGAUUAAAUCAUGCCAUACUCAAUAACAAAGGUGCUAAGAGCUUGAUAUCAUAUCCGAUGGGCCUAUUUGAGCUGUAGAUGGCCUUCUUGAGUCCGCAUAUAUGUGUAGGUAGAAAG